ensembl:lncRNA
GCAUGUAACAGCAGAGUCAUGAGAGCAGAACUAAUGGGUGAACAAACGACCUCCUUUCACACAUUUGGAAAAUCUGCUUUAUGACACUUAGUGAAGUUUGAUACCACAUGAAGGAUACAGAGAUGAUACCUCUGCAUCCAUCUGAAUCCAUAUCAAUGUAUUAUGGGAAAAAAACAGUAGUCAGAAUGGGCCUGAAAACAUGGGCCUGAUAAGAAGGAAGUCAGAGAAAUGAGAACAGUGUAAACAAAAAAGCUAUGGUGGAUAAGGCAGGAAUUUAGAAGUGAGCUUUGCCUUCAACUCCUGAUUCUGUCACUCAGCAUCUGUGCAAGACUGAGCAAGUCACCUGGCCACUUUGAGCCUACUUUGUAUAAGCUGCAAAGCAGACAAUAACGCUAUCUCAAUAGGGUUACCUGAGGGUUAAAUGAGAUAACUUGCAUGAUGCUCUGAUUUGGAGAUGACAUAUACCACGCUCAGCUCCUCCUCAUAACACUCAUGUCAGGCAUAGCUUCUUCCCCCAUCUCUGACCCCUUCUACACUAAACUCCUGUCUUCAUGACUCAGUCUAGAGCUUCCUACUGUCCCUCAGAUCACUCUCUCAAGUCAUCCUACCUUGGGAUAUUUGCAUUCUCUUCUGCCUCGGAUCCUCCUACCCAGAUCUUUAGGUUUCUUGCUCCCUCACUUCAAUUAAUCUUCUAGAGUGUAACUACAGGAGGAGUACAGAAAAGCCAUAAAACAGGCAGAGGAGCCUCUGAGAGCUUCAGCAUGGAACGGGUGAGAAGGCCCUGGAGGAGGCCCCACAAGCUGGUGAUCAAGCUGUCCACAGCACUGCUGGAGGUCCUCAUGACAGAUCCCACUGAAGCCACACGUGCCACAUCUCUGCUGACUGCCUGGUGAUGGCACAUCCGUGGGUGACAGGAUGGGAUGUGAGCCUUUCACGCCUUCUGUUUUCCUCAUGCCUCCAGCUGGGCUCUUUGGGAGGGGGUGUGUGUGUGUGUGUGUGUGUUUCUUUUCCUUGGCUCACAAGUCACAUCAGUCCGCUCUUGGUACUUGGCAACCCAGCACGCUUCCUCCCACUAACGACAAGCCCGUCUGCAAAACAGAACAACAUCUUUGAGAUGGGGUGUUUAUCUGGGCAGCACACAGCCUCUGCAGCCCACAGGGGCCCCUCCUUCAAAGGCAUUGCUGAAUGGGACUCACCUGAUGAAAGCCCGAACUGUGUAUGCUUGACUUGAUUUACGGGCAACAGCCAGCUCAUUAGGCGCACUGGCCUGAGGAAGCCAGUCGGCUGUGGGGACAAAUGUUUGUGCAGCUCUGUGGUGCCCACAGGGAUGUUUGCUUGGGGGCUGGAGCACAAAGGGGGCAGUGAUAAGGGGCCCUGGAAUCCAUGCCUGGCUCAGGGAGCGCAAACUGCCCAGGAGAUUGAUAUCUAGGGUGCAAAGGCUAAAAAAAUUAGAUUAAUUUAGCUCAGCUGUACUUGCUGAAGGAUUGGGUUGCAGCUGGUGCUGAAACAUUAGUGAUCAACCCUCAGAGAUCAGGGGUCAAGUCUCAAGUUGGAAGGAAGGGGGUAAGAUGGAUUGCCUCUCAGUAUGCCUGCUCCCCAGGAAAAGGAUAGCCUACAAAGGCAGCCCGGCAUUACAGAUAGUCCUGUGGAACACCACUGAGAAAGUAAUAUAUCAGAGAAGGCAAUGGUACCCCACUGCAGUACUCUUGCCUGGAAACUCCCAUGGAUGGAGGAACCUGGUAGGCUGCAGUCCAUGGGGUCGCUAAGGAUUGGACACGGCUGAAGUGACUUAGCAGCAGUAGCAGCAGAAUCCCAAAAUCCCACUGGACCAAAAUAAUAUUAAAGAUAGCCAAGGACAACAUCUCUGAAUGGGAGGCAAGAAUCCUCAGAAAGGACUAUAGUGGGAGAGAUGAGAACUUCCCCUUUAAGUGGAACACACAUCAACAGGAACUCCAGGUAUGGCUGAUCUCUAUCAACUUGCCAAGGCCAAGUCCAUGCUACUCCAAGGGCUGGACCUGAGAAACCAGUGAUUCCUGUAAGCCUGAGGCCAGCUGAGGAGCUCUGCUUUCAACACAGAUGUAUGCAUGUUCUCAUUUUGUUAUUGUCUUUGUUAUUUCCUUCCCCCAUUAAAGA